CGGUGGAGCAUGUGGUUUAAUUCGACGCAACGCGAAGAACCUUACCUGGGCUUGACAUCCCGAUCGUACGAUAUGGAAACAUAUUGGUCAGCUCGGCUGGAUCGGUGACAGGUGCUGCAUGGCUGUCGUCAGCUCGUGUCGUGAGAUGUUGGGUUAAGUCCCGCAACGAGCGCAACCCUUGCCUUUAGUUGCCAGCAGUUCGGCUGGGCACUCUAAAGGGACUGCCGGUGUUAAACCGGAGGAAGGUGGGGAUGACGUCAAGUCCUCAUGGCCUUUAUGACCAGGGCUACACACGUACUACAAUGGCCGAUACAAAGGGCAGCGACACUGCGAGGUGAAGCCAAUCCCGUAAAAUCGGUCUCAGUCCGGAUUGGAGUCUGCAACUCGACUCCAUGAAGUUGGAAUCGCUAGUAAUCGUGGAUCAGCAUGCCACGGUGAAUACGUUCCCGGGCCUU
rnacentral:rRNA from 1 species